GUGGACCAACCCCCUGCAGGGCGGUCCCUAAGCAAUUAUCCAUCUGGGAGCACAUUCCUGGGUCCCCAGAAGAAACAGAAAAAGCAGGUGCAUCGUCCCCUUCCCUAAGAGGUAUUUGCUGUCCAGGAUGUUCUAUGGGAAAUGGCUGUGGAUUAGGAUAAAAUCAAAACACCAUCACCAGAGCACAAAAAGUUACAUGUGGAUGAUUAAUCCUGAUGACAUCAUCACGGGCAGAAAGAGUCAAUAUGUGAGUUUCCCCUUCCACGAUAUGGCCUUCCUCCAAGCUCCAACAUAGAUUUAGAAUUCAAGACGGACCAUGCCAGCCUGGGAUUGCUCUACUGCCCCAGCCCUUGUCCACUCUCUCCCUCGAUGGGCUCUGAAGCACACACAGCUGUGGACUGACUGCCCGCUUGGUGUGGUGAGCGCUGCCACAGGCACGGGCAUCUUCUUUGUCAUCACCGCCAGUAGGUGAUACAGGGCACGCAGCCGGCUCAGCCCUGGGACAGGAAGGACCUGGUGCCACCUUGGUUCCUGUGACUCACAGACGGAGACCAGACACUUAGAGCCUCACCAUCCAGUGGGCUUUUCUUUCAUGCAUCUCACAGGUUGGCAAUCAUCGUUGAGGAUUUUCUGCCCGAUUUUUGGAUAACGAUUUUAGUUUUCUUUCUUGCAAAUCUAUAGCCUCAUCAACUCCAGUCAGUGACACCAACGGUGCCCUGACUCCAAACAAGUGAAUCCGUGGAGAGGAUGAUGACAUUCUGGGUGACAGAUCAUCUUUUAAUCAGUUUGUUUACGAAAACUGGCUGCUAGUGGCAUUUCAUGAAAAAGUGAUGUUGGAUACUCUAUUGAAUACAAAUACUAUCAAGACAGACUUUGAA